UAGCCGGAGGAAGUUCGAUUAGACUGCUUUUUGGGAAACAGUAACUGGCCUAGGGAGACGGUGAAAAAAUGUCGCAGUUACUCGUUAUCGGAUGUUGGCUCCCAUAACUUUUGGCGUGGCUGGAAAUGCUGUAGCAGCAUCAGGAAAAAGGCAGCAACGACAACGACACGAACAGUAAAAUAUCAGAAUUUCUGGAGGAUAUGUCCGGCAAAGCGGACAUAGAAGGUGAUUACAAUUCGGGAUCGAUCGAAGUUUGGCCGAUGUGAGUAGGGCACCGAUCAAUCUUGUCAGUGAGCAAUCAGUCAAACGAACAUCUAGAUCUAUCUCCUAUUAUACGAUACUGCCGUGGUAUUGUAGUCUCUGCAUUCUAUCCACACAAAUUACGAUGUAUUACUUAAAUGCAUCAGACUUGUGAGUGAAUGAAUUAAAAAUAAGUUAACUUCUAGUAAAACCGAGAUCCCUUAAUAAUGUAACAAAGACGCUAUAUCGCGGAAUGCUGAGAAUACUCGCGAACAUCAAUAGACGGACAUUGUUAUCCAUUUUGAUACCUUUCCUACAUAAGAGCAAAGCGAAGAUUUAAAUAUGGACAAGUUUUAUUUUUUUUUUUAUAAGAUAUUAUGAUACUAUAGUGGUUACAUACAAUAAAUUACAUGGAUGACUACUAAUUUA